rnacentral:misc_RNA from 1 species
GUAGGUGAACCUGCGGAAGGAUCAUUAACACGUAUCCAAACGUUAAAACCCCCCUGUGAACCUUCAACACCAAUGCAUCCUGCACACGUUCACGGGUCAACUCCUAGUAAAUCAUUGUCUGAAUCAGAUUUUGAGUUAGGGGCCUCCCUUCAGAGUCCCAAGUGGCUCCAUUGAUCUGAAAGUGUUCAUUCGGGUUGCGUAAGAGUUGGCGCAGUAAACGAUCGUUGGGCCCACACGGCCCAGCGUCCGGGGCCUCUCCGCGGUUACAAUCGGCGGCAAGGGAUACGCACGGAGCUUAUCUCAAUGACGAGAGAGGCGGCCGGCGCCGAAAGGUUGUAGGCAUUUAAAAAACGAACAACUGUUAACAAUGGAUAUCUUGGUUCUC